UACGUAGGGUGCAAGCGUUGUCCGGAAUUAUUGGGCGUAAAGAGCUCGUAGGCGGUUUGUCGCGUCGGCUGUGAAAACCUGGGGCUCAACCCCGGGCCUGCAGUCGAUACGGGCAGACUAGAGUGCGGUAGGGGAGACUGGAAUUCCUGGUGUAGCGGUGAAAUGCGCAGAUAUCAGGAGGAACACCGGUGGCGAAGGCGGGUCUCUGGGCCGAUAUUGACGCUGAGGAGCGAAAGCGUGGGGAGCGAACAGG
rnacentral:rRNA from 1 species